GGCUAACACAUGCAAGUCGAGCGCGCCCUUCGGGGUGAGCGGCGGACGGGUUAGUAACGCGUGGGAAUAUACCCUUUGGUACGGAAUAGCCUCUGGAAACGGAGAGUAAUACCGUAUGAGCCCUUCGGGGGAAAGAUUUAUCGCCAAAGGAUUAGCCCGCGUUAGAUUAGGUAGUUGGUGGGGUAAUGGCCUACCAAGCCUACGAUCUAUAGCUGGUUUUAGAGGAUGAUCAGCAACACUGGGACUGAGACACGGCCCAGACUCCUACGGGAGGCAGCAGUGGGGAAUCUUGGACAAUGGGGGCAACCCUGAUCCAGCCAUGCCGCGUGAGUGAUGAAGGCCUUAGGGUCGUAAAGCUCUUUCGCCUGUGAAGAUAAUGACGGUAGCAGGUAAAGAAACCCCGGCUAACUCCGUGCCAGCAGCCGCGGUAAUACGGAGGGGGUUAGCGUUGUUCGGAAUUACUGGGCGUAAAGCGCACGUAGGCGGACUGGAAAGUUGGGGGUGAAAUCCCGGGGCUCAACCCCGGAACUGCCUCCAAAACUAUCAGUCUAGAGUUCGAGAGAGGUGAGUGGAAUUCCGAGUGUAGAGGUGAAAUUCGUAGAUAUUCGGAGGAACACCAGUGGCGAAGGCGGCUCACUGGCUCGAUACUGACGCUGAGGUGCGAAAGUGUGGGGAGCAAACAGGAUUAGAUACCCUGGUAGUCCACACCGUAAACGAUGAAUGCCAGUCGUCGGGUAGCAUGCUAUUCGGUGACACACCUAACGGAUUAAGCAUUCCGCCUGGGGAGUACGGUCGCAAGAUUAAA
rnacentral:rRNA from 2 species